UCCCUGGUGGCUCAGUUGGGAAAGAAGCUGCCUGCCAUGCAGGAGAGACCCGGGUUCGAUCCCUGGGUCAGGGAA
rnacentral:tRNA from 1 species